UCGAGAAUCAUUCACAAUGGGGGAAACCCUGAUGGUGCGACGCCGCGUGGGGGAAUGAAGGUCUUCGGAUUGUAAACCCCUGUCAUGUGGGAGCAAAUUAAAAAGAUAGUACCACAAGAGGAAGAGACGGCUAACUCUGUGCCAGCAGCCGCGGUAAUACAGAGGUCUCAAGCGUUGUUCGGAAUCACUGGGCGUAAAGCGUGCGUAGGCGGUUUCGUAAGUCGUGUGUGAAAGGCGGGGGCUCAACCCCCGGACUGCACAUGAUACUGCGAGACUAGAGUAAUGGAGGGGGAACCGGAAUUCUCGGUGUAGCAGUGAAAUGCGUAGAUAUCGAGGGGAACACUCGUGGCGAAGGCGGGUUCCUGGACAUUAACUGACGCUGAGGCACGAAGGCCAGGGGAGCGAAAGGG
rnacentral:rRNA from 1 species